CGGGUGAUCUCCACUACACCAUAACACUUAAUUAGGGACAGUUAACUGCCGGGAAAAGUUGCUGAAUAAGGGUAAACUAUCUUCCGGGACAUUUGUUACUGCCGGUACAUAUACUUUAGGGCACGCAAACUGCCGAUAGAACUUGAGCCGCAGGGGCAUUUACACUGCCGGUACGCCUUUCAGGCGCAUAUUCUGUCGGGACAACACAACCACGGCCCAUUUUCUGCCGGGCCUUUUUAUUUGCCGCCAAACUGAAAUAGUAUCGAGGCUAGCGCGGGAGACACCCAAAAGUUUCGCGGCCGAAGAAAUAUAGCCGCUUAGCCCAACCUCUCUUCCCCUUUGCUUAAAAAAAAACCUCUCUUCCCCAAAUCCCUCUGUAUCGACCCAGCCACUCCCGUUCCUUCCUAACCCUACUUCCCCAAAUCACAGACCCGCCGCCGCCGCCGCCCCCCACUCCACCGCCGCCCCUUCCUAACUCUACUUCUGGCCGGCCCGUUCUCCCCUUCCCUGUGCGCCGCCGCCCUACCUCUCUUCCUCCGCUGAGCUGCCAUUUCCAUGGAAGCGGCCCGGCCUGGUCAUUGCUGGAUCUGGCGGUCUGGCGCACCGGUGGUCGAUGCUGCCGGAUCUGGCCCGGGCCUCAUCAACGCCGCCCCGGUUGUUCACCUCCACAUCACCACUUCCCCCAUCGUCAUCUUGUCCGCCUCGCCCAGAUCCGCUGAGAGGGUGAGACCGGGAGAGUAGCCGCCUGUCUCCUGAGGAGUUCGUCCCCGACGGCCUCUCCAAGGACUCCCUCUUCCUCACUCCCAACGCUACACGGUGCUCUUCUUCGUGGCAUCGAGUUCAAGCAGGGUCAACCGCGAGCUGUAUCGUCAUCGAGCGUCCCUCUUCUUCGUCGGGCCUGCACCUUCUCGGGGUGCAGCCGUGCAGCACCUGCUGCUGUGGAAGACAGAUGGCGCGGUGCUGGUAGAGCUGCUCCACGUCGGCCCUGUCGAGCUCAACCACUAACUGUUCAACCACGCGCUGCACCACCAGUUCCUCUACACUCGCUACCAGUGAGCACCACAACGCCUCUAUCAUCAUCGAGCUCAUCACCUAUGGCGGUGGAUUAUAAUGCUUUGGCGAUAAUAACACCAACCUUAUAGCUAUAUCGAAUAACUCUGACACAAGGUGUAAUAUAUAAGUUCCUUCUUGGAAGAUGUUCUUUUGAGAUUGAUGUCUGGCAGGCAUUAUCUGUCUCUGCAUGUUGCAGACUCCAAUGUAUAUCUUGAGAAAGAAAUUUGCUUGAGUAACAAAGAAGUUUCCCAUAUGAUGUAUAUGGAUUACUUCUAGCAAGGAAUCAGAGCUUGGAACCACAUGCUUAUUCAUUGUUAUUGUUGGCCUAAAACUUAAUAUAUAACUGCUACUCUGCUUCUGCACUUUUGAAAGCUUAGAUUUGUUAAUAUGAUUCAGUUUCUUAAAUUAAAGCUGAUUGUGGACAUCUUUAGUGUCUCUGCCUUAUUAGGAGUGUCAUUUGAUGAUAACGUACUUGCAUUCAAGUUUUUUCGAUGGUAACACCUCCGUCAUAUUGUGAAGUUUUAUAUUAUUAUUCUUAAGAUAUUUGCAAGCCUGUCAAACUGUUUUCUCAAAAUUCCUGCCAUCUUGCAGUGACAAUCCUCAAGCUGAUAAGGAUUCAAAUUAGUUUUCCUUUUUUUGCUGGCUAGUACAGUAACUUUGUGCAUGGAACAUGAUUAUACCACUUUCUGCUGUACAAGAUAGGUACACGUACUAUUUACUGUUAAUAUUUGUACUUUGCACACUAUUUGGAUGAGAAGUAAGAUAAACUUGCUACUAUCAGUAUGAUAAAAAUGGACAUGUUCUCUACUAAAGUAGAGAUUACUCUAGAGAUGUUACUAGUUGCUCUAUGUUUCAGAACAUAUUCGGCUGUUGUAUGUGGCCAUGCGGCUGCUGUAUAUGAUUGUUGUAACAUAUUCCUGUUAAUAUUUGUACAGACUUUGCACAAUUUUGAUGAGAAGAUAAGCUUGUUACUUGUUAAGAUAAUAAAAAUGGACUUGUUCUCUACUAUAGUAGAGAUUACUCUAGAGAUGUUACUGGUUGCUCUAUAUUUCAGAAUGCUAUGCAGCUGUUGCAUGUGAUUGUUGUAACUUCUUCCUUAAGUGCUGAAUGCAACUGUUGUAUGUAACAUCUUCUGAUUUGUUGCAGGUUUCCCAAAGGUACAAGUUCACUAAGGUUUGGAAGAUCUUCAAGAUGCUGGAGAUUUGGAAUAUCUACAACUAAGAUGGAGUGAUAAUGUUGUAUGUCUUGUUUGUUGAACCUAGAGAUUUGCUCUGCCCAUUUUGGUGCUUGUUAAGCUCAUUUUGGUUGUGUGUGGCACACAUUUAGAAACAUAUGUACAUCUCCUCUUGUGGCGGUACUUUAUUCUGGUUGUGGCAAACAUAUAUGUACUCCUUUUGUGAACAACCUCCUUAUAUAUGGUCGUUUUGUUUAUGGAAUGAAGUUUAAGAUUUCGAUGAA